UACGAAGGGUGCAAGCGUUACUCGGAAUUACUGGGCGUAAAGCGUGCGCAGGCGGUUUUGUAAGUCUGACGUGAAAGCCCCGGGCUUAACCUGGGAAUUGCGUUGGAGACUGCAAGGCUUGAAUCUGGCAGAGGGGGGUAGAAUUCCACGUGUAGCAGUGAAAUGCGUAGAGAUGUGGAGGAACACCGAUGGCGAAGGCAGCCCCCUGGGUCAAGAUUGACGCUCAUGCACGAAAGCGUGGGGAGCAAACAGG
rnacentral:rRNA from 1 species